UCGGGUCAGCCCAUAUUUAUUUCCAUGUAAGAGAUAAGUUCAGCCUUAUCUCUUUCCUUUCAUCCAAAAUAUUUCCAGAACACCAUAGAAAUAUAGAGAGAUAGAGAGAGAGUGAAUUAAAAUCCAUUUUUGACCCAAAUUCGAGUUCCGAUUUCAAAAGCUCAUGAAGAGAAAAACGUUGCACGUUGCGUUGUCUUCAUUUUGAGCUAAAAAUCAGAGAAGAAGAAGUGUAUUAAGGUGGUUGACUUAUACUUCAAGGUGUAUAUUCUCUUAUACAAGCUAAGAGGAAUUGUUUGACGAAGUGGAUUUUGGUUGAUCUAUGACAUAGAGAAAUUGAACUCCGCGAGUGGUGGUAGAACUUGUUGUAUGCUAAAACGCCAAGGUGAUGUGCGAGGCGGAAUAUGAAGAUGUC